rfam:Leptotrichia sp. oral taxon 847, complete genome.
UUUGGUGACUAUUGCAACAGGGAUACACCCGGUCUACAUUUCGAACCCGGAAGUUAAGUCUGUUUACGCCUACGAUACUUAGUGUUUACUAGGAAAAAUAGGUAAUUGCCAAAC